rnacentral:lncRNA from 1 species
AAUGAUGUGACAAGAAAAUGCUAUCCAACAGUUACAGAACAAAGCCAACAGACAAGCUAUAAAUAAUAAUAACAAUAAUUUUUAAUUAAGACCAUUUGCAAGUAAAUUGAACAACAAUAGCAAGAAAAGCCCUAACAACAACAACAAGAGCACAACAGAUGGGGUGAUAAGUCCCCCAAACCUUUCAGCCACAGCAGACCAAAGCAUCUGAAGCUUCUUCAGCACACCAGGUGUAGCCACACUACCAGCAACAACCUGCCAAGACUACAUAUGAUAUACGUGACAAACCCAAACACCAGCAGCAAUAACAAUUAGAACGACAUUCCAGGAGAAGCCAAAACAUUUAGUAGAAGAAAAUCAUUCUCCCACACCAUAAAACAACAUAAUAUAGUAGCUUCUCUCUAGGCAAGGGCGG